AAGUCGUAACAAGGUUUCCGUAGGUGAACCUGCGGAAGGAUCAUUAAUAAAUUUUAUAUUUUAAGGCUUUUUCUGUUUUACAGUCAAGCCUGAAAUACAAUUUGCUGUGUUUGGUUCUUUAUUUAAAAAGGCCUAACACGUUCAAGCAAACAUACUUUGUGUGCACUGUAUAAAUAAAUUCUCUUCUUCUGACGGAGAAAGUCCAAAGACUGGCUGUUUAACAACAGAUAGGCAUUUUUUUGCUGAAUGGUGCAAAACGGUCAGCGCCGUCAGAAGGUUAAAAUUAACAAACUCGUUGUAUCUCAAUUGUCUGAAGUCAUCUUUUAAUAAAGAUACAAAUUAAAAUACAACUUUUAACAACGGAUCUCUUGGCUCUC
rnacentral:misc_RNA from 1 species